CAGAUUGAUCUUUAAACAGGCUCCUUUUGAAAGCUAGAGUGAGGAUAUUGGUAUCAAAUGAAACUAGA